rnacentral:rRNA from 1 species
CUACGUGCCAGCAGCCGCGGUAAUACGUAGGGCGCGAGCGUUGUCCGGAAUUAUUGGGCGUAAAGAGCUUGUAGGCGGUUUGUCGCGUCUGCUGUGAAAGGCCGGGGCUUAACCCCGUGUAUUGCAGUGGGUACGGGCAGACUAGAGUGCAGUAGGGGAGACUGGAAUUCCUGGUGUAGCGGUGGAAUGCGCAGAUAUCAGGAGGAACACCGAUGGCGAAGGCAGGUCUCUGGGCUGUAACUGACGCUGAGAAGCGAAAGCAUGGGGAGCGAACAGGAUUAGAUACCCUGGUAGUCCACGCUGUAAACGAUGUCGACUUGGAGGUUGUUCCCUUGAGGAGUGGCUUCCGGAGCUAACGCGUUAAGUCGACCGCCUGGGGAGUACGGCCGCAAGGUUAAAACUCAAAUGAAUUGACGGGGGCCCGCACAAGCGGUGGAGCAUGUGGUUUAAUUCGAAGCAACGCGAAGAACCUUACCAAGUCUUGACAUCCUUUGACCACUCUAGAGAUAGAGCAUUCC